GGCGUACGGGUGCGUAACGCGUAUACAAUCUGCCUUUCACAUAGGGAUAGCCCGAAGAAAUUUGGAUUAAUACCUAAUGGCAUAUAGAUGUGGCAUCAUAUUUAUAUUAAAGCUCAGGCGGUGAAAGAUGAGUAUGCGUUCUAUUAGCUAGUUGGAGAGGUAACGGCUCCCCAAGGCGACGAUAGAUAGGGGUUCUGAGAGGGAUAUCCCCCACACUGGUACUGAGAUACGGACCAGACUCCUACGGGAGGCAGCAGUGAGGAAUAUUGGACAAUGGUCGGAAGACUGAUCCAGCCAUGCCGCGUGCAGGAAGACGGCCUUAUGGGUUGUAAACUGCUUUUGCAGGGGAAGAAUAAGGACUACGCGUAGUUUGAUGACGGUACUCUGCGAAUAAGCAUCGGCUAACUCCGUGCCAGCAGCCGCGGUAAUACGGAGGAUGCGAGCGUUAUCCGGAAUCAUUGGGUUU
rnacentral:rRNA from 1 species